AUUGAACGCUGGCGGCAGGCCUAACACAUGCAAGUCGAACGAGCGGCGGACGGGUGAGUAAUGUCUGGGAAACUGCCUGAUGGAGGGGGAUAACUACUGGAAACGGUAGCUAAUACCGCAUACCAUCAGAUGUGCCCAGAUGGGAUUAGCGAGUAGGUGGGGUAAUGGCUCACCAGGGCGACGAUCCCUAGCUGGUCUGAGAGGGUGACCAGCCACACUGGAACUGAGACACGGUCCAGACUCCGACGGGAGGCAGCAUUGGGGAAUAUUGCACAAUGGGCGCAAGCCUGAUGCAGACAUGCCGCGUGUGUGAAGAAGGCCUUCGGGUUGUAAAGCACUUUUAGCGAGGAGGCGUUACUCGCAGAAGAAGCACCGGCUAACUCCGUGCCAGCAGCCGCGGUAAUUC
rnacentral:rRNA from 1 species